ensembl:lncRNA
GGAUCUUCAUUUAAAAAAAAAAAAAGGAAAGAAAGAAAAAGACCAAAAAAAAAAAAAAACCCCUGAAAACAGCACUUAGCAUUUGUUUUGAAGCAGGCACACACCCAGAGCAGAGUGGCUACGCCAAGCUCCUUCCCUGGGAACUACACUCAGCAUCUCAGCAUCUGAGCACCCUAGCUUUGAACAAUGUCUCCACUUUUGGAAUGCCACAGCCAAGCCUGCAUGGCAGUAAGAAGGAGCUAAGAGGCAGUAAGAAGGCAGAACACACGAGGACGUGCCUGUGAACAGCGAACAAUUGCCUUAAGUAGUAAUACCUGGAUCCUUGAGGGCUGUUGGCCUCCUCCCCAGCCUGAAGAGCAGUGAGGGGCAGAUCAGACUUCAGAGAGACAGCACUGAGCCCUGAACUCUGGUCAUACAACUCCACGAGGAGCAGAAGAAACCCCAGCAUCUAUUCAUUCAGUGUUUGCAUGCACAUUAGGGAGUAAGCUAAAACGAAAGCAACCUUGAACCUGUCCAGCUGGUCAUUCUUGCCAGGCUUUGAGCCUGUAACAGGCUUUGAACCACUCUAUCAGAGGCUGGCCUAGUUCACCACUCCUCAGUCUUCUCAGGGAUCUCCUCUUCCUCCUCCUGCCCUGAACUAUUACGGUUCCACAAGGUUCCCUGCUCAGCCCUUUUCUCACUGUUCACUCUCCAGGUAACCGUAACAGCCAUCUGGUUUCAACAUUUACUGAUGAUCCCUAAUUCUGUAUCUCCUAACCAGAAAUGAGCUUCAGACUUGUGUGUCACAGCUUAGUACAUGAACCCCAAAUCCCUCAAACUCCACAUGUCCAAAACUCGAUUGAUUUUCUCCUUCCACAAUCCAGUCCUGCUCUUAAUUCUCUUUCUUAGUCAACUGGUUCUCCAUCAACUCAGCUGAAUAAGUCAGAAAACCAAAACCCUAUCAUCAGAGAUGGCUCUGAGUUUCUUUAAACGCAUAUUAGAAGGCACUAUAAGGAUACAGGG